AUUGAAAAUGCUAAUUUUUUUCUCUUUUCCUUCCCUUCCCAAACAAAGUUAAAUAGCAGUAGAGAGAGAACCAGGAGUUAACGAGGAUAAAAUUCUCGUGAGAUAUUUUGGAAGCAAGUUAGGGAAAGUUCGUUAAAGGAAAUUUUGGAUGCAAAUUAGGGAAAGUUUGUUAGAGGAAAAGGGGAAUUAGUUAGAUUCUUGGGCGAAAAUUUCUGAAAUAAGAUAUCGAAGAACAAAACUCCCAAACUUUUUUUCAACUAAUCCUAAAAACCUUUGAGCGGGAUGAAAAGAAAAUUGAAAAUCUUUUAGGCCGGAUUGUUCCCGCUUUGUGUGAAUUUGUUCGACUAUAUAAAGAUCCCUAACAUCAUGAAGAGUUGCAUCCAAUUUCAUCUACAUCUUACCAAGGGAACUCCUCUCAUUUGAAUUGUGGUGUUUUACUGGUAUAUUUCUUCUGAAUAUUAAUCUUAUAUGGCUCCAGACGCCCGCCUAUUCUAUGAGGAUGCAGCUUUACGUCGAAAAUAUGCUAGAUUAAGAAUAAACUUUAUGAUUUAAUGAAGAAGCAAGGAGCUAAGGCACAGAAGCAAGGAGCUAAGGUACAGAAGCAAGGAGCUAAAGCGCCCUCAGAUGCACUUGUGAAUCCCAUGUACACACGACAGGGAGGAAAUCCAAGGAGUGUUCAACAGUAUCAAUUUAUUGGAGACAAAAUCAGGGAAAGACAAGAACACCAAAUGAAUGACCUUAGCAGUCGCUUGCACGCAGCUCAGUCAACAGUGCAUGACAGAAGUGAAGUUGGAAGAACAGGUCGGGUGCUACCAAGCCAUGCACCAAUUGAGUCACCGGUGCAUGGGGGAAGGGGAGGUGGAAGAACACGUCCUGUGCUGCCAAGUCUUUCACCAAUUGAGUCACAUGUGCAUGAGGAAAGGGAAGGUGGAAUAUCAUGUGGGGUGCAGCCAAUCGGAUCACCUCUGAACAAUGAUUUUCUGAUAACUCGUAGGAGAUCCCCUAGAGGAAACCGCACAGGAAUACACAGAAAUCUUGAGAAGGAAUACAAUGGUCUACAUAGCCCUAUGAGAACUCAAGGUCGCCAUUCUGUACCACCUCCCACAGAGAAUGAAAUACAACAACGUUCAAAUCUAUUGCAUAAUAAUCGAACACAAGCAUGUCUUCAGCCAUCUCAUCGAUCAACACAGAAAGCUAUUCAAAGUUCAGCAUCUCAUCAAUUACAGUAUAAUGCUCUUCGAAGUUCAGCUUCGCAGCAAUCUCACCGAUCACAGCAACGAAACAGUUUACGUGAUUCUCCAGCUGAAAACCAUAAUUCUUCGCAACCCAACCGAUCGCGAUCAGCGUCUAAUUCUCCUGUAGCAAGUAAUGAAGAAGUUGACAAUUCACUGCAAGAAGGUCCGCAAAAACGUACCACAAGAAAGAAAACGACUAAUCUUGCGGUUGCCAAGAAGAAGGAGAAAGUAAACGUGCCAGUUUUCAAUGAAAAAUUUUGUGGUUAUUAUAAACAUGAGUAUAUAAACUCUAUUGGGACGUGGGUAAGGCAAAGGGACAAUUGCCCACUAAUAUAUGAUAAAUUUGAUAACAUGCCUGAGCAGAAAAUUGCCCGAGUGAUCCAGAAUGUCCGGGACCACUUUAUCCUCGUUCCUGAUGAUGAUGGGGCUGUGAAAGCGAUCAAAGACAUGAUGAGGGAUGCCUAUAAGGCAUACAGGCACAAACUUCAUCUAAAGUACAAAGCAGCAGGGGGUGAUGGGUUUGCUGCAUCAGAUGGCCACCUGAAGGCUUUGGCACACCCUCCCGAAAAUUGCCUCAACAAACAUGAUUGGGCUCACAUGUGUAAUCACUUCACCACCGAUGAGUUCAAGAAAAAUUCUGAAAGAGGGCGUCGUGCUGCGGCUGCGAAGCAAGAAAACAGUAUCAACCACAGCAAUGGCAACAAAAGUUUUACUAGUACCGAAUACGAUUUUCUGCAAGCCGGACUGCCUUGUGAUCCAGUGACUUUCUUCUGAAGAACCCAUGACCCUGAGAAGAAAAUCAACGCCAAAUGCAAAGAAAUGAGUGAAAAAAUGAAGGCCAUGAAGGAGGCCGCAGAUCGAGGAGAAACUGAUGACACUCCAGAAGAGAUAUUUAACAAAGUUCGUAAUGCUGGAUGUUCGGGUAAACGGCGUCGCAAGGCUCACCCAACUAACUAUAGUUUAUACCAGAAGAAAGAAGAAGUGGCCGAAUUGAAAGUAAGAAUAGCGUCCUUGGAACAGGAAAACAAAAGGCUUAAGAAAGAAACGGGUCCGAAAGCGACAAAGAAGUUGUUGAAUGAAUAUCUUUCUAAAGUUGGCAUGCCAUUGAUGGAAUUAUCAUCUGAAGAUGAUGUGGAAGAAGAUGAUGAUGAUGAUGAUGAUGAUGAAGAUGCCGAUAUGCACGAGAGUCAAAUUCAUGAACAUCGAGAUGCCAUUGAAGGUAGUGAUAGGGAAGCUGAAGAGGAGGAUGAGGCUUUUGGAGAUGGUCAAGAAGAAGAUGAUGAGGAGAAUCGAGAUAAGGAGAUUGAAGAGGAUGACGAAGAAGAAUAAACUGAGGUUUAGAUUCAUUUAUUAUUUGUUAUUUAAAAUCUCGUUUUAGAACUUUCUCUAUUUUUUGGUCUUGUAGUCCAGAUAUCACGAGGGAUUCUUGAUUUUUUUGUUUGGAAACUUUUUUGUUUUAAUGAAUGCAUUGAAUAAAAAUUUAUAUUUGGUAUA